AGCAUUUAAAGCCUCACAAGCAUCACAUUUGAUCGAUUUGAGUUAGAGAGACUUAGGUCUUGUUUGGGAUAGCUCCAGCUCCAGAAAAUUUGGUGGAGUAGGUCAUGAGGUGCUCUAGAAAAUAAUGGAGCUAGAGCUGUAAGCUUUUAGAAGACAUUUAGAUGACUCAUUUUAUUUAUUAUUUAGAUUAAAAAUAUUUUUAAAACUAAUUAAAUUCCUCAGUGCCUUGUGAUUUUAAGUGUUGCAAAUUCUUGUGCUCUUGUUUUAUGCUUUCAUUCUCUCUCACACCCCAUUCUAAAGGGUUAUUUCACUAGUCUAAACUACCCCUAAAUAUAUACAACUCAUCCAUUUAACCAAGGGCAAAAUGGACUAACUCCUAUAAUAUGCAUCUGAUAGCCACGUGCUCCACAUGAAGUUGCUUCGCCUCGACACACCCUUCGUGAUGACGCCAUGUGUCGCCUUUAAUUCCUUCUGGAACCGCACCGCCGAGUUUUGAGUCCCAAACUCGGUGAAACCCACCAUCCGUAGUGUUAGGUGGUUUGAGGUUCAACCACCAAAAUAUCGUGAGUAGCGUACCGCAUACGUGUUCCCCACGUCUUGGACACGUGUCCCAUCAGUCCUCGACAACUGGUGACACAAUCCGUUCUGCCACGUCCUCGCGCUAGUACGUGACCUAGGUGUCAACCACCAAGGCUAGUCACCCGACUGCUUUGGUCCCUUAGUCAAGUCCCAACGCUCGUUCUUCGCCGCUUUUGGUCCAUCGGCACAAAUCCACAUGACAUUCACCUUCGUCGUCGACCACCGUCCCUAUGCUUCGCACCUGCACACCACAAGCCGACGAAAAUAGUUUUACAAUACAAGCUCUCGUACUCUAGUUAGUCCAAGACUCACAUUAAAAUACUACCAAUGUUGACAAUCACUCAUCAUCAACCCGAACCAUAAAUGUGAUAUCCUGGCCCCUGGGAUGGUGAUUUCCUGGUCCAAGGCUUAAUAGAAUUAAUAGAGUAUCCAUACCAACAAGGUGCAUCUUCUUUUUCGGAAGCCUAUCUCGAAAGAACCUCCAUGUUAAGUGUGCUUGGCUUGGAACAAUUUGGGAUGGGUGACCGACCGGGAAGUUUUCUCGAGUGCGCAUGAGUAGGACAAAGUGCGCACAAAAGACACAUGUUUGUCUGUGGGGACAACAUAUGAUUCAGAGAGCUGCCAGGAGUAAGUACCACCGAUCCAGGGAUUGGACGAGGUGUUACAAUAGGUCAAGUCAAUCUUGUGUUCGCGCGGUUACUUCGAGUCACUGACGUGUGGAACCAGUUCUAGUGCGGCCCCAUGCGUCAGUGACUCAUCUGCAGUUACUUUCACAAAAGUAACUACAGAGGAUCUCCUCGGCUUUCAUACGCCGCAAACCAGCAACAAUGAUGGUACUUUAGAUUUCACAAGCAAGGGUUAUUUAUUUAUUUAUAGGCAAGAAAAUUGUAAAAUCCGUCUUAAAUAUUACAUCAAAAGGUGAAAGAGCCUCUAUCUAAGUUAGUUAGGUGGUCUUCAAGCCGAGGUAAAAAAAUCCUCUUAUUUGAAGUUCUUCUUAACACAAUAGAAUCCUCUUAUUUGAAGUUCUUAACACAAUAGACGGUCGGGUCGAUAAGAGCUUAAAACAUUGUUACCCUGUUUUUUGCUAUUUGCAUAAAAAACAGUUCACGAACAAAAAAAUAAAAUCAAUUAAAGGUCUAUUUAGUUUAGUUAUAGAUUUCUAAAAAAAAUAAUUCUAGUGAUGUUUUGGAGAAGCUGUUGCGAGCUGACCGUCAUAGAAAAACUAAAAUAUAUUUGAUUGAAACAAUUAUAAACUAUAGAACUGAUAAAUUAUAGAUUCUAUAAAAACAUGAUAGCUCGGUAGAUGAUAAGAAUCUAUUCUGAAUUAAGGAUGUGUUUAGUGUGUGGCGCCACGCCACACCUAAGUUGCGGCGGCCGAAUCAGCCGCCACAACUGCGGCGGGAAAAGCGGUGGCUUAGGCCAGCUAUCAAACACGCCCUAAAUCUUGCACAGAAUGCCGAACCGAACACACCAGUGCGCAUGGCGAGGACGUUUUUCACCCAAACUAAGCAGGGGUGGACGAUGCAGCAAAACAGAGUGGUCUUAACAGAAUUCCUUUAUAUAGACCGUUCAAGUGCUGAUCAUAUGAAGACACUGUUAUCUCUCCCAAAUUAAACUUUAUUGCUCAAACGACAUCAUGCGUCCUCUCUCAAAAAAA